AGGAUGAACGCUGGCGGCGUGCCUAACACAUGCAAGUCGAACGUCCUGUCUCGCAAGAGGCAGGGAGUGGCGGACGGGUGAGUACCACGUGGGUCAUCUACCGUGAGGUGAGGAAUACCGGCGAGAAAUCGCCGACAAGACCGCAUAGGCUCGAUGCAAGUCGAGCAAAGCUCUUUCGAGAGAGGGAGCGCCACACGAGGAGCCUGCGCCCGAUUAGCUAGCUGGUGGAGUAACGGUUCACCAGGGCGACGAUCGGUAGCUGGUCUGAGAGGACGAUCAGCCACACUGGGAUUGAGAACGGCCCAGACUCCUACGGGGGCAGCAGUGAGGAAUUUCGUCAAUGGGGGCAACCCUGAACGAGCAACGCCGCGUGCAGGAAGAGGUUUCGGAUCGUAAACUGCUUUUCUCGGGAAGAGAACGGACGGUACCCGAGGAAUCAGCCCCGGCUAACUACGUGCCAGCAGCCGCGGU
rnacentral:rRNA from 1 species